CAAUAACAAACAAAUACAUUUAUUUUUCAGAGAUUCUGAACUUCAGAAACUUAAAAACACUCUCAAAAAUCCAAAGUCUUAUGAACACAAGAUGAAUUCACAGAUGAGCAGAUAAUGGGCUAAAACACACUCUCCUAAUUGGGAAAUCUAUUCAAUAUUCUGUAAUAACCUACGUGGGAAAAAAAGAAUGGAUGUGUGUGUGUAUAUAUAUAUAUAGAGAGAGAUAUCUCUCUCUCUAUAUAUAUACCUGAUUCACUUUGCUGUUCUUUUUAAACUAACACAUCAUUGUAACUCAACUAUAUUCCAAUAAAAUUUAAGCCAUUUCUUUCCAGUGGUAUAUUUGUGAAAAACACGCUUCCAGGUGGAGACACCUAAAGUAGUUUGCCAAAAUGGACCAUCUUUUGAAUGCUUGUUCUGUAUUUGGUCUAAAUUUAGAUUCAAUACCCAUCUCAGCAAGGAUUUCACACUCGAAUAACUGAACUGAUUACUGCCUGUACUCCUCAAUACAUGGAUAAGUCUCGAUUCCUAUAGGCCGAAACAUCAGGGAAGGUUUUCUCUGGUUCUACCCUUUACUUCUUAUUGAAGAGGGGUUUGGUGUAGACAGUGUGUGGAUACUCAUGGGCCAAGUGAUCAGAAUUCUCUCUAGACUGUAUUUGAAGCUGCAUCCCAGAGCACAAGAGCGCAGGUCUAUUUCCAUUUAAGUGCAAAAACAAUUCCCAAAGCCCCAAAUGGUAUAAAUCUUACUGAUACUCAUUUUCACGAAUCCACUCCUGUCCGUUGCUCUCUUAGGGGAAAGAAAAAGGCCAUAAGGGCGUUCCUUAUUGUUAAUCAUUGUCUCUGAAAUUCUCGCAUGCAUAAAGAACAGAACAGUACCUGCCUUCCCGGGAACAUGUUUAUCUCAGUGAAAGGGGAAAAAAAAAAUACCACAGUACAUUUCCAGUUUUUCUUGUAACCGGAGAACUUAAAGGAAACAUUCUCAACCGUUGUGAACCAAAGAGGAAGCGAUGUUGAGAAAUCACAGACUUUUGAGGCAUUAAGCAAUGACCUCCUAGAAAAAGAAAGAAAGACUCUCACCGGAGAGGGAAACUCGGGAAUUGAAAUGUAUCAGGCAAAGCAUCUUAGGGGGUAAAAGGAAAAAAGAAAAUCAAGUAGUUUACCAUGAGAUUGAAAGAAAAUCCUGAAUGAUGACAAAGAAAGAACAUCCAUUUCGGAUAAAGGAGGCACUAUGAGGCUUCAUAGUCAACGUACUUACUGAGCGCAAACAGAGAAGAAUAAAAAACCAAACCAAACAUAGUCCCACAGCCCCAGUUCCAGCUGCUGUCAUUGCUGUCACCUGCUAU
ensembl:lncRNA